GAUGAACGCUAGCGGGAGGCCUAACACAUGCAAGCCGAGCGGUAUAGAAUCUUCGGAUUUUAGAGAGCGGCGUACGGUGCGGAACACGUGUGCAACCUACCUUUAUCUGGAGGAUAGCCUUUCGAAGGAAGAUUAAUACUCCAUAAUAUAUUGAUUGGCAUCAAUUAAUAUUGAAAGCUCCGGCGGAUAGAGAUGGGCACGCGCAAGAUUAGUUAGUUGGUGAGGUAACGGCUCACCAAGACGAUGAUCUUUAGGGGCCUGAGAGGGUGAUCCCCACACUGGUACUGAGACACGGACCAGACUCCUACGGGAGGCAGCAGUGAGGAAUAUUGGACAAUGGGUGACAAGCCUGAUCCAGCCAUCCCGCGUGAAGGACGACUGCCCUAGUGGG
rnacentral:rRNA from 1 species